GUAUGUAGUGUAAAUAACACGUUAGCUUUUCAUGCUAAAAUUAUAUUUAUAUUGAGCACAG
rnacentral:tRNA from 1 species